rnacentral:tRNA from 1 species
UCCCUGUUGGCUCAACUGAUAAAGGAUCUGCCUGUGAUGCAGGAGACCUGGGUUCAAUCCCUAGGUUGGGAA